GACGAACGCUGGCGGCGUGCCUAAUACAUGCAAGUCGAGCGGACUUUCAAGAAGCUUGCUUUUUGAAAGUUAGCGGCGGACGGGUGAGUAACACGUGGGCAACCUACCUGCAAGACGGGGAUAACUCCGGGAAACCGGGGCUAAUACCGGAUAAUAUCUUCCUUCGCAUGAUGCAAAGGUGAAAGGCGGCGCAAGCUGCCGCUUUCAGUGGGGCCCGCGGCCCAUUAGCAAGUUGGAGAGGAAAGGGCUACCCAAGGCGACGAUGCGUAGCCGACCUGGGGGGGUGAUCGGCCCACCUGGGACUGGGACACGGCCCAGAAUCCUACGGGGGGCAGCAGUAGGGGAUCUUCCGCCAUGGGCGAAAGUCUGACGGAGCAACGCCGCGUGGGCGAAGGAGGUCUUCGGAUCGUAAAGCUCUGUUGUCAGGGAAGAACAAGAUCCGUUCGAACAGGGCGGUACCUUGACGGUACCUAAUCAGAAAGCCACGGCUAACUACGUG
rnacentral:rRNA from 1 species